UACGCAGGGGGCUAGCGUUGCUCGGAAUUACUGGGCGUAAAGCGCACGUAGGCGGCUUCUUAAGUCGGUGGUGAAAUCCUGGAGCUCAACUCCAGAACUGCCUUCGAUACUGAGAAGCUCGAGUCCGGGAGAGGUGAGUGGAACUGCGAGUGUAGAGGUGAAAUUCGUAGAUAUUCGCAAGAACACCAGUGGCGAAGGCGGCUCACUGGCCCGGUACUGACGCUGAGGAGCGAAAGCGUGGGGAGCGAACAGG
rnacentral:rRNA from 1 species